AAUAUACUCCCUCCGUUCGGAAUUACUUGUCGCAGAAAUGGAUGUAUCUAGAUGUAUUUUAGUUCUAGAUACAUCCAUUUCCAAGACAAGUAAUUCCGAACGGAGGGAGUAUGUC
rfam:Triticum aestivum genome assembly, contig: Triticum_aestivum_CS42_TGACv1_scaffold_002205_1AL